CUGAGAGGAUGACCAGCCACACUGGAACUGAGACACGGUCCAGACUCCUACGGGAGGCAGCAGUGGGGAAUAUUGCACAAUGGGCGCAAGCCUGAUGCAGCCAUGCCGCGUGUAUGAAGAAGGCCUUCGGGUUGUAAAGUACUUUCAGCGGGGAGGAAGGGAGUAAAGUUAAUACCUUUGCUCAUUGACGUUACCCGCAGAAGAAGCACCGGCUAACUCCGUGCCAGCAGCCGCGGUAAUACGGAGGGUGCAAGCGUUAAUCGGAAUUACUGGGCGUAAAGCGCACGCAGGCGGUUUGUUAAGUCAGAUGUGAAAUC
rnacentral:rRNA from 1 species